UCAGGGUGCCUUCUUCCAAGCUGAUUGCUUGGCUUCCCGUGGCUUUGCCCAGCCGACGCUCAUAGCAGAUAAACCAAUGACUUUCCUUUCAUACUAACUCUCGGUGUUUCAAUGUAGGAUAUCCACUACAACAAUUGUCCAGGAGAUUGUAGACAGAAAGGUCUUACUAGCACUGUGUGCUAUAUUUGGCAUUUUUACGCUGGUCGUAAUCAUCGUCAUAAUUUUAUGGAUUGUCACGAAAUUUAAUUGCGUCUGUAAGAAAAAAGAGAAUAAUUACGUGAACGGUAAUGCUGUUAAAAACAACAUCAACAGAUAGUUGAAGUGCUUCAAAACGGAAUCACGCAAGCCAGAAUUCAAUCCAUUGUUUGUCCCUCUUUGCUACGUAGUAUCAUAUAUUGUACUCAGACUGUCAUUGUCGACAAAUCGUUCGGCUUAAGAAUAAUUUUACAAUAGUGAAGAGUAGACAUUCAGCGCUAAAUUGUAUUGACAUGCGAGUUUCAACAUUUUCUGGUAUAUUGUGAAAAGGACUUGCUUAAAGCAUAAAUUUUGGAAA